AGCGAACGCUGGCGGCAGGCUUAACACAUGCAAGUCGAACGCACUCUUCGGAGUGAGUGGCAGACGGGUGAGUAACACGUGGGAACGUGCCCUUCAGUUCGGAAUAACUCAGGGAAACUUGAGCUAAUACCGGAUACGCCCUUCGGGGGAAAGAUUUAUCGCUGAAGGAUCGGCCCGCGUCUGAUUAGCUAGUUGGUGGGGUAAUGGCCUACCAAGGCGACGAUCAGUAGCUGGUCUGAGAGGAUGAUCAGCCACACUGGGACUGAGACACGGCCCAGACUCCUACGGGAGGCAGCAGUGGGGAAUAUUGGACAAUGGGCGAAACCCUGAUCCAGCCAUGCCGCGUGAGUGAUGAAGGCCCUAGGGUUGUAAAGCUCUUUCAGCUGGGAAGAUAAUGACGGUACCAGCAGAAGAAGCCCCGGCUAACUCCGUGCCAGCAGCCGCGGUAACAC
rnacentral:rRNA from 1 species